AUUGAACGCUGGCGGCAGGCCUAACACAUGCAAGUCGAACGAGUGGCGGACGGGUGAGUAAUGUCUGGGAAACUGCCUGAUGGAGGGGGAUAACUACUGGAAACGGUAGCUACUACCGCAUACCAUCGGAUGUGCCCAGAUGGGAUUGGCUAGUAGGUGGGGUAAAGGCUCACCUAGGCGACGAUGCCUAGCUGGGCUGAGAGGAUGACCAGCCAAACUGGAACUGAGACACGUGCCAGACUCCUACGGGAGGCAGCAGGAGGGAAUAUUGCACAAUGGGCGCAAGCCUGAUGCAGCCAGGCCGCGUGUAUGAAGAAGGCCUUCGGGUUGUAAAGCACUUUAAGUUGGGAGGCGUUACCAACAGAAUAAGCACCGGCUAACUACGUGCCAGCAGCCGCGGUAAUUC
rnacentral:rRNA from 1 species